UGAGGGCCCUCAUGGGGUUUUUGAUUAUGUGAUUACUUGGCCGUUUUUUAAUGAUUAUUUGAUUAUUAAGCCAAAUAUUUCAUGAUUAUUUGAUUACCUAGGACUGUAUUUUUAGUUUAUGAUUAUUUGAUUACUAAAGAUAAGCAAAUAUUUAAUGAUUAUGUGAUUAUAUUGGCAAAAAAAUGGUGAUUAUGUGAUUACUAGGACCCCCCAUGAGGGGCCUC
rnacentral:lncRNA from 1 species